rnacentral:rRNA from 2 species
AUUUGCCAAGUAUGUUUCCGUUAAUCAAGAACGAAAGUUAGAGGUUCGAAGGCGAUCAGAUACCGCCCUAGUUCUAACCAUAAACGAUGCCAGCCAGCGAUCCGCCGAAGUUCCUCCGAUGACUCGGCGGGCAGCUUCCGGGAAACCAAAGCUUUUGGGUUCCGGGGGAAGUAUGGUUGCAAAGCUGAAACUUAAAGGAAUUGACGGAAGGGCACCACCAGGAGUGGAGCCUGCGGCUUAAUUUGACUCAACACGGGAAACCUCACCAGGCCCGGACACCGGAAGGAUUGACAGAUUGAGAGCUCUUUCUUGAUUCGGUGGGUGGUGGUGCAUGGCCGUUCUUAGUUGGUGGAGCGAUUUGUCUGGUUAAUUCCGGUAACGAACGAGACUCUAGCCUGCUAAAUAGACGAUUUCCGGUAUCCACAAUAGUGCUACCGGCGAAAUCAAUAUCUUCUUAGAGGGACAGGCGGCUUUCAGCCGCACGAAACUGAGCAAUAACAGGUCUGUGAUGCCCUUAGAUGUCCUGGGCCGCACGCGCGCUACACUGAAGGAAUCAGCGUGUACACCCUGGCCGAAAGGCUCGGGCAACCCGUUGAACCUCCUUCGUGCUAGGGAUUGGGGCUUGCAAUUGUUCCCCAUGAACGAGGAAUUCCCAGUAAGCGCGAGUCAUAAGCUCGCGUUGAUUACGUCCCUGCCCUUUGUACACACCGCCCGUCGCUACUACCGAUUGAAUGAUUUAGUGAGGUCUUCGGACUGGUGCGCGGCGGCCGCCUCCGCGGCCGCCGAUGCCACCGGGAAGAUGACCGAACUUGAUCAUUUAGAGGAAGUA